GACGAACGCUGGCGGCGUGCUUAACACAUGCAAGUCGAACGGAAAGGCCCUGCUUUUGUGGGGUGCUCAAGUGGCGAACGGGUGAGUAACACGUGUGUGACCUGCCCUUUACAUUGGGAUAACUUCAGGAAACAGGGGCUAAUACCGGGUAUGAGAUCCUUAUGCAUGGGGGGGGUGGUAAAGUUUCGGCGGUUGGGGAUGGACACGUGGUUUAUCAGCUUGUUGGUGGGGUAGUGGCUUACAAAGGCUUUGACGGGUAGCCGGCCUGAGAGGGUGACCGGCCCCAUUGGGCUUGGGGAGCGACCCGGACUCCUUCUGCAGGCAGCAGUGGGGGAUUUUGCGCGAUGGGCGGCAGCCGGAUGCAGCAACUCCGCGUGGGGGAUGACGGCCUGCAGGUUGUAACCCGCUUGCGCCUGUGACGAAGCGUGAGUGACGGUAAUGGGUAAAGAAGCAACGGCUAACUACGUG
rnacentral:rRNA from 1 species